GGGGUUGUGGCUCAGUGGUAGAGCACUUGCCUUGCAUGUGUGAGGCACUGGGUUCAAUUCUCAGCACCG
rnacentral:tRNA from 1 species